rnacentral:rRNA from 1 species
GAUCAGGCUCAGAUUGAACGCUGGCGGCAGGCCUAACACAUGCAAGUCGAGCGGUAACACAGGGAGCUUGCUCCUGGGUGACGAGCGGCGGACGGGUGAGUAAUGUCUGGGAAACUGCCUGAUGGAGGGGGAUAACUACUGGAAACGGUAGCUAAUACCGCAUAAUGUCGCAAGACCAAAGAGGGGGGACCCUUCGGGCCUCUUGCCAUCAGAUGUGCCCAGAUGGGAUUAG